GAGCCGCUAGCUCAGUUGGUAGAGCAUCGCCCUUUUAAGGCGAGGGUCGUGCGUUCGAGCCGCACGCGGCUCACCA
rnacentral:tRNA from 7 species